AACGAACGCUGGCGGCGUGCCUAACACAUGCAAGUCGAACGAGACCUUCGGGUCUAGUGGCGCACGGGUGCGUACGCGUGGGAACCUGCCCUUAGGUUCGGAAUAACUCCCCGAAAGGGGUGCUAAUACCGGAUAAUGUCUUCGGACCAAAGAUUUAUCGCCUUUGGAUGGGCCCGCGUUGGAUUAGCUAGUUGGUAGGGUAAAAGCCUACCAAGGCGACGAUCCAUAGCUGGUCUGAGAGGAUGAUCAGCCACACUGGGACUGAGGCACGGCCCAGACUCCUACGGGAGGCAGCAGUGGGGAAUAUUGGACAAUGGGCGAAAGCCUGAUCCAGCAAUGCCGCGUGAGUGAUGAAGGCCUUAGGGUUGUAAAGCUCUUUUACCCGGGAUGAUAAUGACAGUACCGGGAGAAUAAGCUCCGGCUAACUCCGUG
rnacentral:rRNA from 1 species